UGAACGUGGCUACUGUGCCAGCUGGUGGAUCGCUCGGCUUGAGAGCUGAAGAAGGACGUGCCAAGCUGCGAAAAGCCUGUGGGACCCGCA
rfam:Halobiforma lacisalsi AJ5 contig_5, whole genome shotgun sequence.